rnacentral:rRNA from 1 species
GGUUUGGUAAUGGGGCGAAGCCCUGAUCAGCCAUGCCGCGUGAGUGAAGAAGGCCUUCGGGUUGUAAAGCUCUUUCGGCCGGGAAGAAAUCGUGUUCUCUAACAUAGGACAUGGAUGACGGUACCGGACUAAGAAGCACCGGCUAACUACGUGCCAGCAGCGGCGGUAAUAA